rnacentral:rRNA from 1 species
UACAGAGGUCUCAAGCGUUGUUCGGAUUCAUUGGGCGUAAAGGGUGCGUAGGUGGCGCUGUAAGUCGGGUGUGAAAUUUCGGAGCUUAACUCCGAAACUGCAUUCGAUACUGCGGUGCUUGAGGACUGGAGAGGAGACUGGAAUUCAUGGUGUAGCAGUGAAAUGCGUAGAGAUCAUGAGGAAGACCAGUGGCGAAGGCGGGUCUCUGGGCCGAUACUGACGCUGAGGAGCGAAAGCAUGGGGAGCGAACAGG